GUCUCGUUGGUGUAGUGGUAUCAUGCCCUCUUUGGGUUAUUAAUUAAGUUAAUUAACUGAGUGGGGGUGGUCCUGGGUUCAAUCCCCAGACGGGACC